GACGAACGCUGGCGGCGUGCUUAACACAUGCAAGUCGAACGGAAAGGCCCUGCUUUUGUGGGGUGCUCGAGUGGCGAACGGGUGAGUAACACGUGAGUAACCUGCCCUUGACUUUGGGAUAAGUUCAGGAAACUGGGGCUAAUACCGGAUAGGAGCUCCUGCUGCAUGGUGGGCGGUGGAAAGUUUCGGCGGUUGGGGAUGGACUCGCGGCUUAUCAGCUUGUUGGUGGGGUAGUGGCUUACCAAGGCUUUGACGGGUAGCCGGCCUGAGAGGGUGACCGGCCACAUUGGGACUGAGAUACGGCCCAGACUCCUACGGGAGGCAGCAGUGGGGAAUAUUGCACAAUGGGCGGAAGCCUGAUGCAGCAACGCCGCGUGCGGGAUGACGGCCUUCGGGUUGUAAACCGCUUUCGCCUGUGACGAAGCGUGAGUGACGGUACUGGGUAAAGAAGCACCGGCUAACUACGUG
rnacentral:rRNA from 1 species